CCUACGGGGGGCAGCAGUGGGGAAUAUUGGACAAUGGGGGGAACCCUGAUCCAGCCAUGCCGCGUGUGUGAAGAAGGCCCUCGGGUUGUAAAGCACUUUCAGUGAGGAAGAACGCCUGGUGGUUAAUACCCAUCAGGAAAGACAUUACUCACAGAAGAAGCACCGGCUAACUCCGUGCCAGCAGCCGCGGUAAUACGGAGGGUGCGAGCGUUAAUCGGAAUUACUGGGCGUAAAGCGCGCGUAGGUGGCUUGAUAAGCCGGUUGUGAAAGCCCCGGGCUCAACCUGGGAACGGCAUCCGGAACUGUCAAGCUAGAGUGCAGGAGAGGAAGGUAGAAUUCCCGGUGUAGCGGUGAAAUGCGUAGAGAUCGGGAGGAAUACCAGUGGCGAAGGCGGCCUUCUGGACUGACACUGACACUGAGGUGCGAAAGCGUGGGUAGCAAACAGGAUUAGAUACCCGGGUAGUC
rnacentral:rRNA from 1 species